GUCGAGAAUCUUCCGCAAUGCGCGAAAGCGUGACGGAGCGACACCGCGUGAUGGAUGAAGUCCUUCGGGGCGUAAACAUCUUUUAUAAAGGAGGAAAUUUUUGACGUUACUUUAUGAAUAAGGGGCUCCCAAUCUCGUGCCAGCAGGAGCGGUAAUACGAGAGCCUCAAGCGUUAUCCGGAAUCAUUGGGCGUAAAGGGUGCGUAGGUGGUUUGAUUAGUCUCCCGUUAAAACUUCGAGCUUAACUCGAAAAGAGCGGGGGAAACGGUCAAACUAGAGUAUGUGAGAGGUGUGUGGAACUCAUGGUGUAGGGGUGAAAGCCGUUGAUAUCAUGGGGAACACCAAAAGCGAAGGCAGCACACUGGCACAUCACUGACACUGAGGCACGAAACCUAAGGUAGCGAAUGGGAUUAGAAACCCCAGUAGUCC
rnacentral:rRNA from 1 species